CUGGCCGCCCCUCUUAAGCAUGGCCCCAGUUCAGAGAAAGAAAACCCACAAAAUAGAACCGGAGUCCUAUUCCAUUAUUCCUAGCUGGGCUAUUCAGGUAACCGGGCCUGCUUUGAACACUCUAAUUUUUUCAAAGUAAACGCUUUAGACCCC